rfam:Hepatitis D virus isolate TW2479-18, complete genome.
UCGGGUCGGCAUGGCAUCUCCACCUCCCCGCGGUCCGACCUGGGCAUCCGUAGGAGGACGAACGUCCACUCGGAUGGCUAAGGGAGAGCCAGU